CGCGCUCUCAUCUCUUCCUCUCCGGGAAAAGCUCCCCGCGGCCUCUCAAGUCCUCAAAUGGACCACAAGGCUCUGGUGCCCGAGGGGAGGAGGAAGGCGACGGUGUCCCCGAGAGCCGGUCGCCGACGCGCGCUCUCACCAGCUCGGCUCGCAGCCCGGGCAGGGCGCUCUAGACGCUCGGGUCUCUGCUCCUCCUGCGCCUCCGCUUCCGCCUCCGCCGGGGGGCGCCGGGAGCCUCCUCGCGGCACAGCCAGCUGGAAGACGCCCGCCAGCCGCCGCCUGAGGUCUUCCGGCAGCCGGCAUGGGGGCGACGGGGGCCUCCUCCUGGCCGUCCGUGCGCUUACUGCCCCCGGGGGAGCCGCGCGUCGGGCAAGGGCCUCGGGGCCAAAGCACAACACUGACUGGGACUCCGUGGGGUCCCCGGGAAGUCGCUUCUCUGCGGCUGCCGGAGUCCCCGGGGCCCAUUCCAGAGGCGGCGGGGCCCAUUCCAGCGGCAGUCGGAGGAGGUGGUUCCCCGUAACUCCGCGAAGAGGUUGCAACUGGAUCACUUCUUGCUCCUUGGAGUGUCUAAGAGGAAGACUUGUAUCUCUCCAGAUCAUUUACUUCAACAAGAACUUCAGAUCCUUGACAGAUGACAUCAUGAUCCACCUUUGCCUCUGAUACUCAUAGCCUCACUUUGCUAAAGAAAUGAAUCAUGGCAAGAGAGAAGCAACAUAAGGCAUGGAAAACCAUAGAGCCUGACUAAUGCAUUGCUUAAAAUAUCAAGUAGAUUUCACCCCAGUUGAUCUUCCUAUAAUGAGACAGUGGAUAAAGGCUCUCUGCUUAACAACAAGGUAUGUAAAUGAGAAAUCUUUUCAGUUUCCAAUUGAUGGUGAAAAAAUUUGUUGAACUGAGUGUUUAUACAUAAGUGUACUUUAAUAAAUUCCAAGUGGUCAACA
rnacentral:lncRNA from 1 species